rnacentral:rRNA from 1 species
AUUGAACGCUGGCGGCAGGCCUAACACAUGCAAGUCGAGCGCGCGGCGGACGGGUGAGUAAUGUCUGGGAAACUGCCCGAUGGAGGGGGAUAACUACUGGAAACGGUAGCUAAUACCGCAUACCAUCAGAUGUGCCCAGAUGGGAUUAGCUAGUAGGUGGGGUAACGGCUCACCUAGGCGACGAUCCCUAGCUGGACUGAGAGGAUGACCAGCCACACUGGAACUGAGACACGGUCCAGACUCCUACGGGAGGCAGCAGUGGGGAAUAUUGCACAAUGGGCGAAAGCCUGAUGCAGCAAUGCCGCGUGUGUGAAGAAGGCUUUCGGGUUGUAAAGCACUUUUAGCGGGGAGGCGUUACCCGCAGAAGAAGCAACGGCUAACUCCGUGCCAGCAGCCGCGGUAAUUC